AAAAGAAACCAACAGGGAUUGCCUCAGUAACGGCGAGUGAAGCGGCAAAAGCUCAAAUUUGAAAUCUAGCACUUUCAGUGUUCGAGUUGUAAUUUGAAGAAGGUAACUUUGGUUUUGGCUCUUGUCUAUGUUCCUUGGAACAGGACGUCACAGAGGGUGAGAAUCCCGUGCGAUGAGAUGCCCAAUUCCAUGUAAAGUGCUUUCGAAGAGUCGAGUUGUUUGGGAAUGCAGCUCUAAGUGGGUGGUAAAUUCCAUCUAAAGCUAAAUAUUGGCGAGAGACCGAUAGCGAACAAGUACAGUGAUGGAAAGAUGAAAAGAACUUUGAAAAGAGAGUGAAAAAGUACGUGAAAUUGUUGAAAGGGAAGGGCUUGAGAUCAGACUUGGUAUUUUGCGUUCCCUUCCUUUUUGGUUGGGUUCCUCGCAGUUUACUGGGCCAGCAUCGGUUUGGAUGGUAGGAUAAUGACAUUGGAAUGUAGCUUUACUUCGGUGAAGUGUUAUAGACUUUGUUGAUACUGCCUAUCUAGACCGAGGACUGCGUCUUUGACUAGGAUGCUGGCGUAAUGAUCUUAAGC
rnacentral:rRNA from 1 species